rnacentral:rRNA from 1 species
UACGUAGGGUGCAAGCGUUGUCCGGAAUUAUUGGGCGUAAAGAGCGUGUAGGCGGCCCGAUUAGUCCGCUGUGAAAGUCCAGGGCUCAACCCUGGAAUGCCGGUGGAUACUGUCGGGCUAGAGUCCGGAAGGGGCGAGUGGAAUUCCUGGUGUAGCGGUGAAAUGCGCAGAUAUCAGGAGGAACACCAAUGGCGAAGGCAGCUCGCUGGGACGUGACUGACGCUGAGGCGCGAAAGCGUGGGGAGCGAACCGG